ACCGAAGCCUGUAACCGCCUCCGGGCGUGACGGGCGGUUGGUAUCCUCCUUCUGAGGGGUGUAUGGUGCAGCUUGGGCCGGUCCUUGUGGGUCGCGCAUCCCCAGUGCUGCAGCGGACCAUCCCUUGGGCAACUCAGUGGGGGCAAUUGGAUAGUUCUAGACACCUUUGGCGGCUUUGGUCCUGGAGGUGGCUCGGGCUGGGUGCCGGGCUUCGGUCCGCACCCCGAUCUUUUAACUAGCUCUGAUACCUCUUCAUUGAGGGUUGCCGGGCGGCCUUUCGUCUUUCGGGGCGUAGGGUUUCCCGGGAAAGAUAGUUACCUGGUUGAUUCUGCCAGUAGUCAUAUGCUUGUCUCAA
rnacentral:misc_RNA from 1 species